GACGAACGCUGGCGGCGUGCUUAACACAUGCAAGUCGAACGGAAAGGCCCUGCUUUUGUGGGGUGCUCGAGUGGCGAACGGGUGAGUAACACGUGAGUAACCUGCCCUUUACUUUGGGAUAACUUCAGGAAACUGGGGCUAAUACCGGAUAGGAGCUCCUGCUGCAUGGUGGGGUUUGGAAAGUUUCGGCUGUUGGGGAUGGACUCGGGGGUUAUCAGCUUGUUGGUGGGGUAGUUGCUUACCAAGGCUUUGACGGGUAGCCGGCCUGAGAGGGUGAACAGCCACAAUGGGACUGAGAGACGGCGCAGACGCGAAUGGGGGGCAGUAGGGGGGAAUAUGGCACAAUGGGCGGGAGCCUGAGAAGGAAACGCUGGGAGCGGGAUGAAGGCCUUCGGGGUGUAAACCGCUGUCGCCUGUGACGAAGCGGGAGUGACGGUAAUGGGUAAAGAAGCACCGGCUAACUACGUG
rnacentral:rRNA from 1 species